AUCUAAAAAUCCUGACAAUCUACAUUUGACGAGUUUAAUAGAGCAAGCCGAGGAGGGAAAAUUGUUCUCGUGUCUACAACCUGGAAACCCUAACUCGAAUCCAUCAACCCUGCUAGGUUGCCACUACAAUGUACAACCCUAAUUACGAUCCCAGAUACGCCGACUCCAAUUCCUAUCGUCAACGCAGAAGUGAUCUGAUAGGGCCACCGCAUAUAGCCGGUGGAGCUGCCGUAAGUAAUAGUCGUGGUGCCCCAACUCCUUAUGGAGGUCCGGUGGGGGCUCCGCCACGUUUUGCAGCUGGUGGUAGAGAUGUAGCAGGGUCUAUACCUACUGGUCGUGGUUAUUCAGGGUUCCCUUCUUUCCAGACUGGUGGGAAUGAGGAUCGAGGUGGUGCUGGGCGGGGAUUUGAUUCAAGCCGAGGGGGUAGGGCUAGUGGGAGGGGGUUUGGUAGAGGACGUGGUGGACGUGGAGGUGGGAGAUCUGGAUAUGAUGGAGGGCGCGGUGGUGGCGCAGGUAGGCAUGGGGCACAUGGCAGGGCGCGAGAUGAUUUGGAUAACAUUUCCCUUCCAAAACAAGAUUUUGGAAACUUGGUUCGCUUUGAGAAGAACUUCUACUCUGAGAGUCCAUCAGUGAUGGCAAUGACUGAGCAGGAGGUUGCACUAUAUCGUGCAAGGCGUGAGGUUACAGUUGAGGGCAAGGAUAUCCCAAAGCCAAUUCGAAUGUUCCAUGAGGCAAACUUUCCUGCGUAUUGCCUUGAGGUUAUCACAAGAUUGGGCUUUGUUGAACCCACAGCCAUCCAGUCACAAGGAUGGCCAAUGGCCUUAAAGGGCAGAGAUCUGAUUGGCAUUGCAGAAACAGGUUCUGGAAAAACUUUGGCAUAUCUACUGCCUGCUUUUGUUCACAUCAGUGCACAACCACGAUUGGUGCAAGGUGAUGGUCCCAUUGUGCUAGUAUUAGCUCCUACAAGAGAAUUAGCUGUUCAGAUCCAAGAAGAAGCUGUUAAAUUUGGAUCACAUGCAAAUAUAAGAAGCACAUGCAUUUAUGGAGGUGCUCCAAAAGGACCUCAAAUACGCGAUCUUAAAAGAGGAGUUGAAAUUGUCAUUGCUACUCCUGGUCGGCUGAUAGAUAUGCUAGAAUCUCAACAUACGAACUUGAAAAGGGUGACUUAUCUUGUUUUGGAUGAGGCUGAUCGGAUGUUGGAUAUGGGGUUUGAGCCUCAAAUCAGAAAAAUUAUUUCCCAGAUUCGACCAGAUAGACAAACAUUGUAUUGGAGUGCAACAUGGCCAAAGGAGGUAGAACGAUUGGCAAGGCAGUUUCUACACAAUCCUUACAAGGUAACCAUUGGGUCUCCAAAUUUGAAAGCAAAUCAAUCUAUAAGGCAAAUUGUUGAAGUUGUUACAGAUUCGGAGAAGUACACCAGGUUGGCUGGACUAUUGAAAGAAGUGAUGGAUGGAAGCAGAAUUCUGAUAUUUGUGGAGACAAAGAAAGGAUGUGAUCAGAUCACAAGGCAACUAAGAAUGGAUGGAUGGCCAGCUUUAUCCAUUCAUGGCGAUAAAAACCAGGACGAAAGGGUCUGGGUACUGGCUGAAUUCAAAAGUGGUAGAAGUCCCAUAAUGAUUGCCACUGAUGUUGCUGCACGCGGUCUUGGUAGGGUUGUGAAUGCUUAGACUUAGGAAUUUAUACUCUCUGAUCCUAGGUCUUUAACACUAAUACUUAGAAGAGUCUCCGGCUGCUGUCCACUUUCCUGAGGAUAUAAUCUGUGGUUUGGGUAAAAAUAGUUGGGACUAUGCCUAGUAUGUGCUAACCACUACUAAUUUGUUUGCAUGAGUAGAAUCUAGAUUGCAUUGACACAGGUGCAUGUCUCUCAUUAGACACUAACACAUAGAAACAUGCUUUUGAAAGAGUUGAAAAAUGCUGAAAAUUGUAGUUCUAUUCUAAGAACAGUCAUAAAAAUAUCAGGCUAUGGUUAUAGUCUAUUGCAUGCUGGAUACAUCUGAUGCGUGCAAGUGACUAACAUGGAUACACAAGCUUCUUACUAAUAUCUCUUCUUCACAAAUGUAAUAGUUUUUAAGGGUCUACUGUUUAGAACUCAAUUAUCUGAGACUUAAUUAAUUUGCUUGAGAGUAGGGCAGGAAGAACUCCAUUCGAGAUGCUUUUAUUUUGAUAGGUUGCAUGCUAGGUAUUUGUUUGAUGCUAGAUGCUACACACUUUAAUUAAUGACACACUUGACUCACUUUUCAACAUCAUUGACUGUUGCUUCAUGUUACUGCAUAUUACCAAGGGCCUAAUUUCUAUUAUUGUGACUUUGAGGAGGAUUCACAAAGUCUUGGGAAUUUAUUUAUCUUCUAAAAAAAAUAUUAGAACUAGGAAAUGGUCAACUGCAAGCUGGAUGCAUUCUUUGCAUUAAAGUGAUCAAGGAUUUAGAACAGCCAUCACAACACUCACAUAUUAUUCCCAAGUCAUCAUUUAACAGGAAUUUGGGGAUUCAAAAGUUCCUUGAAACAUUUUAACCGAUAGCACAGAGUGCUUGUGCAUGCAAGGAUAGACAUGAUGCAUUGCUCCAUUAGAAAUGUUUGGUUUCUUAAGAUUUCUUUGCCUGUAGAUGGUGUGAAAUUUAUUAACUCCUGGGAUUAACUGAAAAUGGGUACUUGACUAACAGGAAUUUGGAUAAAAAUUUAUUCUUGAUCAGUUAACGGACUUGGUUUCAGUUGAAUGGGUGGUGAUAUUUAGUUCUCCAUUCCAUCCUUUUAGCUGGAGUUCAGAUGGAAUGAAUUCUUAGAAGUUUUAGUCAACCAUUGGGUAUUUUUGUAUGGGAGAUUGACUUCUCAUGAUUAAGAGUUUUCUAUGUAUUAUUAUCAUUAUACAAACACUACAUGCAUAUCAUUACAUAGUUAAAAGUGGUAUAUGGGCAAUUGGUUUCUCAUGGUCAAAAUGGAAGCUAAUAAGAUAACAUGAGCAUAAAGUAACAAAUGUAGUGAUUAUGUCUGACUUCACAGUGCUAUUUUUAAUUGAAUAUUUUUAAACAUGAGUCCUUUUCAAUCUCUCUCGCUCUCUCUCUCUCUCUCUGUUUUUUUUUUAAUUAAUUAAUUUAUUUUUAAAUGUUUCCCUGACAGCUAGCUUCAAUAUGCAUUAAUUAAAUUCUUGACAAUCAAGCUCUUCAAAUUUUCUAAAAACUGUAUGUUCAAGAGGACUGAGGACCCUUGAAUUCCACAUAUAUUCCUUUGGAAGAAACUGUGGUGCAGGAGCCUUGCACAUUGACUAUCAACUCUAUAAUUGAGAUGACCUCAUUGGUUACUAGUGCUUGGUUGUAAGGCUACUGAAAUUAGCUAGUCCAGUGGAAAGAGUGUUACUUAUCUAUUGAGAAUGUAUUGUGCUUUCAUGCAUUAGAGGAUUCAAUCCAAAUUUUGGAUUGUCAAAAGAUUAGAAAUAAAAAUAAACAGACAUUGGCCUAAAAUGUGGUGGUGAAUAUGUUGAUCUCAUUUUAGUAAAAUGUUAGGUCUCAUGUUUUGUCAAUCUUUUAAUUUUAAUUUUUUUUAAAAAUUGUAAUAGAGUAUCAGAUUUCUGAUUUAGGAGGGUAUGUGUGUAUGGUUAUUGAAGAAGGCGAUAUGAUAGGUUAUAUUAACUGUUCUUUCUGUGUUGUACCAAGAGGUUUACUGGUGGACUAUGUUUAUACAAAUUGGGGUUUUUUUGGCAUCCUUGACUUUUGGACCAGAAAUGGUAUGGUUCCAGUUAUUGGUUCUAAGAUUCUAAAGAAUAUGCUUGAGGUUAAUGCUGCCCAUCCACAGUUAACAAGCUGAUUGUCGUGACAGCCCGGUUGACUCACAAGAUUAUUUAAUGAUUCGUUAUUUCAUUUUUGGAGUUGUGGUGGUGGAGCUGCUCCUUAUCCCUGCAAAGUUAAGAUGUGAAGGACA